CGCGGCGAUCCUCGAAUCCACCUGGACAGGUGAGAACAGGUGAGAUCAGACAGGUGAGAUCAGACAGGUGAGAUCAGACAGGUGAGAUUAGACAGGUGAGAUCAGACAGGUGUGAAUAGAACAGGUGAGAUCAGACAGGUGUGACAGGUGUGAGGAAGCCCCCGCGCUCGCCGCGCCCGCGGAAACCCCCGCGAUCGAAUCCUCCGCGACCACCACGGCGAUCCUCGAAACCUCCACCUGGACAGGUGAGAUCAGACAGGUGAGAACAGGUGAGAACAGGUGUGAACACAACAGGUGAGAUCAGACAGGUGUGAAUACAGCAGGUGUGACAGGUGUGAGGAAACCCCCGCGAUCGAAACCUCCACGACCACCACGGCGAUCCUCGAAACCUCCACCUGGACAGGUGAGAUCAGACAGGUGAGAACAGGUGAGAACAGACAGGUGAGAACAGGUGAGAUCAGACAGGUGAGAACAGGUGAGAACAGGUGUGAACACAACAGGUGAGAUCAGACAGGUGUGAAUACAGCAGGUGUGACAGGUGUGACAGGUGUGACAGGUGUGACAGGUGUGACAGGUGUGAGGAAACCCCCGCGAUCGAAUCCGCCCCUGCCACCGCCGCGACGAUCCUCGAAUCCACCUGGACAGGUGAGAUCAGGUGAGAACAGGUGUG
rnacentral:lncRNA from 1 species